AGUGAACGCUGGCGGUAGGCCUAACACAUGCAAGUCGAACGGCAGCACAGUAAGAGCUUGCUCUUACGGGUGGCGAGUGGCGGACGGGAGAGGAAUACAUCGGAAUCUACUUUUUCGUGGGGGAUAACGUAGGGAAACUUACGCUAAUACCGCAUACGACCUACGGGUGAAAGCAGGGGAUCUUCGGACCUUGCGCGAUUGAAUUAGCCGAUGUCGGAUUAGCUAGUUGGCGGGGUAAAGGCCCACCAAGGCGACGAUCCGUAGCUGGUCUGAGAGGAUGAUCAGCCACACUGGAACUGAGACACGGUCCAGACUCCUACGGGAGGCAGCAGUGGGGAAUAUUGGACAAUGGGCGCAAGCCUGAUCCAGCCAUACCGCGUGGGUGAAGAAGGCCUUCGGGUUGUAAAGCCCUUUUGUUGGGAAAGAAAAGCAGCAGGUUAAUACCCCGCUGUUCUGACGGUACCCAAAGAAUAAGCACCGGCUAACUUCGUG
rnacentral:rRNA from 1 species